rnacentral:rRNA from 1 species
ACAGAGGUCUCGAGCGUUAGGCGGAAUCACUGGGCUUAAAGCGUGUGUAGGCGGCGGGCUAAGUACCUUGUGAAAUCCCACGGCUUAACUGUGGAACUGCUGGGUAUACUGGUUCGCUUGAGCGGUCUAGGGGCGAGCGGAACAAAUGGUGGAGCGGUGAAAUGCGUAGAUAUCAUUUGGAACGCCAACGGUGAAAACAGCUCGCUGGGGACCUGCUGACGCUGAGACACGAAAGCCAGGGGAGCGAACGGGA